UUUUUUUUUGCACCGGUACUUUUUAUUAAGGUAUAUCUUUUGGUUUAUACACAAACGUAUGCAGUAACCCAUCAGAACCAUAAUGUUGAUAAGAUAGCGUAAUACUAAUAGUAUUGUCUCAAUAGAAGUAUGAUUUUUUACUUUGUUCGUAUCAUAAGUAGUCACGAACGAUAAAUUAAUCAUGGCAAUAUCCAAUCUAAUUAAUACCCGACGGACAUCGCGUUACGAAUAAUAUUUUACUUCUAAACGGAUGAAAUAUAAAGAUAUUUGAGAGGAGGAACACGGCUCUCGGCGAUGCUAAUGCAAUGAUUUAACAAGUUAAGGAACUGACUGACUUAGUUACAAGUAACGAGCGCUCGAGGCGUCGCUAACACGAAUAAUUUACAUUUGUUAAUCGACCCAUCUCUAUAGCUUAUUGUAUUUACAUCUUAAGAGCUCUUGUGGAUAACAGUUCCUACUAUAAAUUUUUAAAUGUAUCAACUGCACCUUUGUGCUUCGAAACAUUACUUUGAGUGGACUUUCGGUGAAUAACUGAGUAUAUAUAAAUCAUCUUUACAUCAAAUUUUUCUUCGAGUCGCCUGAAAAUGAACAAUUUGUUUGCCUUGUAUUAGGCGAUCACGGCGACAUGCAAAUAUUUGUAGAAUCAAAGUCACAAAAUGAGUUGCUAAUCUAAAGAGAUAGAGAUAUUUAGGGAACGAUAACAUUAAAGCUGUAAACUGCACUUAGGUUCACUUCAGCCUCGAGAUAUUACAGGCUGAAGCGUACACAUAUUCUCCGGACACAAUUUUUUUACAAGUUGGCACGCA
rnacentral:misc_RNA from 1 species